rfam:Hyphomonas neptunium ATCC 15444, complete genome.
GGGCUUACCAUCGCGCGCGGUAUCCCCUAUAUUGGCGAUGUCUUCGGACUAUGGCGAUAAACGCGCGUGUAAUAAGCGGCUCGGACCCGGGGGCGGUACCCGGCGGCUCCACCAAAAGCAGAUCAGCAAUGGUCUGUUUCUGACGGGGCCGAAAUAGUGUCGACGGACGUGUAAAGACGAGGCUUUCGCUCGCUUGAGCUGCGUUAGAAGCUCAAAAGCAAAUAGUUGCAAAUGACAACUUUGCUGAGGGCGAAUUGCUCGCCGCGUAAGCGGUGACGGUUUUUCCGACCUAAGUCCUGGGGCUUCAGACCCCUAGGCGGGGCCCGGGGGCGCCUGGCAACAGAAGCCCCCACC